rnacentral:rRNA from 1 species
CGGAUUAAGGAAACCGGCGCACGGGUGCGUAACGCGUAUGCAACUUGCCCUUAUCAGGAGGAUAGCCCGGGGAAACUCGGAUUAAUACUCCAUAAGAUUUUGAUUGGCAUCGAUUAAAAUUGAAAGAUUUAUUGGAUAAGGAUAGGCAUGCGUCAGAUUAGUUAGUUGGUAGUGUAACGGACUACCAAGGCGAUGAUCUGUAGGGGGCCUGAGAGGGUGAACCCCCACACUGGUACUGAGACACGGACCAGACUCCUACGGGAGGCAGCAGUGAGGAAUAUUGGACAAUGGAGGGAACUCUGAUCCAGCCAUCCCGCGUGCAGGAAGACGGCCCUAUGGGUUGUAAACUGCUUUUGUAUGGGGAUAAAUCUACCUACGUGUAGGUAGUUGAAGGUACCAUACGAAUAAGCAUCGGCUAACUCCGUGCCAGCAGCCGCGGUAAUACGGAGGAUGCAAGCGUUAUCCGGAUUCAUUGGGUUUAAAGGGUCCGUAGGCGGGCUGAUAAGUCAGUGGUGAAAUUUUGUCGCUCAACGAUAAAACUGCCAUUGAUACUGUUAGUCUUGAGUGAUAUUGAAGUAGCUGGAAUGUGUAGUGUAGCGGUGAAAUGCAUAGAUAUUACACAGAACACCGAUUGCGAAGGCAGGUUACUAAGUAUUAACUGACGCUGAAGGACGAAAGCGUGGGGAGCGAACAGGAUUAGAUACCCUGGUAGUCCACGCA